rnacentral:rRNA from 1 species
GUGGGGAAUAUUGGUCAAUGGGCGCAAGCCUGAACCAGCCAUCCCGCGUGCAGGAAGACGGCGCUAUGCGUUGUAAACUGCUUUUCCAGGGAGAGAAACUUGCGCACGUGUUGCGCAAUUGACGGUACCCUGGGAAUAAGCAUCGGCUAACUCCGUGCCAGCAGCCGCGGUAAUACGGAGGAUGCGAGCGUUAUCCGGAUUCAUUGUGUUUAAAGGGUGCGUAGGCGGACUAUUAAGUCAGUGGUGAAAUCCUGCAGGUUAACUGCAGAACUGCAAUUGAUACUGAUAGCCUUGAGUUUGGUUAAGGUAGGCGGAAUGUGUAAUGUAGCGGUGAAAUGCUUAGAUAUUACACAGAACACCAAUUGCGUAGGCAGCUUACUGAGCCGACACUGACGCUGAGGCACGAAAGCGUGGGGAUCGAACAGGAUUAGAUACCCGUGUAGUCC